UAUGUAUGUUGUAGUGCAGAUGACGUGACUGACUCUCACCAAAUCUUUGUACAUGCUAACAGAGGAGAAGCAGAUCAGAUCUGAUCUGUCUGAUUGACAGGAAGCAGCAGUUUAUGCAACAGAAAGCUCCUCUUAAUGUGUGUGUGCAUGGGAAGGCAGCCUCUUUAGUCCACGACAAUCUGUGCCACGAGGGCACAUUGUGAGCUUCCGUGUCUGUACUUCUUCUGUGCCUACUCUGACUAAUGUGCCCUAACAUGAUGUUCAACACAUCAAGAUGUUGAAAAGUGGAACAACUGGAACCACUUGUGCCGUUUUGGUUCUUUGCAUCAGAAUAGGAUUUUAAGUCUUCCCCCGGUGGUGGACGUGUUCGACCAUGCAAACACAGCCUCCUGCUUUCAAGCCUUCAACCA